GCCCACACGCCACACUCUGAGAUUUGAAUGUUUGUCACACUUCCUAAUUUUUUAAUAAUGAAAAUGAUUUCAGGAAAUAAUGAAGAUAGAGCCAGCUAAAUCUGAGCACAGACUGGGUGGGAAGGAGAAGGAAAAAAUCGGACCAGUUAUGCUUUAUUCUGUGACCUCAGGAGGUGAAGUCGGUUUGCUGAUAAGUGGUCAUUCUGACAAACAGUACGGUGCGGCCUAGCCACGUGACCCCCUCCUGGCCUCAGCAGAGAUCCCAGUGCCUUCCCUCCCCCGUCCCCRCUCUCAGCUUGACUUCUGGGGGUUCGGUGGAAGAGGAGCUGACCUCUCACCUCCCCUCACACGCGCAGAACCCAGGCACACGCCAGCUCUGUGUGUGUUUCGACGAUGCUGAUUAUCAGAUUUGCUGAUGCCCUGCUUAUUCCAGGAAGGACUGAAGGUAAUGGGUGGCAGACACAGAGGAAGUAUUCCGUCCUGCAUCUCUCACUCUGAGGCACUUCUGUUGACCAACACCAGUGAGAAGGG